AGAGUUUGAUCCUGGCUCAGAAUCAACGCUGGCGGCGCGCUUAACACAUGCAAGUCGCACGAGAAAGUGGAGCAAUCCAUGAGUACAGUGGCGUACGGGUGAGUAACACGUGGAUCAUCUACCUCUUGGUGGGGAAUAACCCUGGGAAACCGGGGGCUAAUACCGCAUAAGCCUGCAAAGGGAAAGCAGCAAUGCGCCGAGAGAGGAGUCCGUGGCCGAUUAGCUUGUUGGUAGGGUAAUGGCCUACCAAGGCAAUGAUCGGUAGCCGGCCUGAGAGGGCACACGGCCACACUGGCACUGAAACACGGGCCAGACUCCUACGGGAGGCAGCAGUGGGGAAUCUUGCACAAUGGGGGAAACCCUGAUGCAGCGACGCCGCGUGAGCGAUGAAGCCCUUCGGGGUGUAAAGCUCUUUCGGCAGGAACGAUAAUGACGGUACCUGCAGAAGAAGCUGCGGCUAACUACGUGCCAGCAGCCGCGGUAAUACGUAGGCAGCAAGCGUUGUUCGGAAUUACUGGGCGUAAAGAGUGUGUAGGCGGUUCUCUAAGUUCCGUGUGAAAUCUCCCGGCUUAACUGGGAGGGUGCGCGGAAGACUGGAGGGCUGGAGUAUGGGAGAGGAAAGCGGAAUUCCUGGUGUAGCGGUGAAAUGCGUAGAUAUCAGGAGGAACACCUGCGGUGUAGACAGCUUUCUGGACCAUCACUGACGCUGAGACACGAAAGCGUGGGUAGCAAACAGGAUUAGAUACCCUAGUAGUCC
rnacentral:rRNA from 1 species